rnacentral:rRNA from 1 species
AGGGGGGNCCCCUGCACAGAUACAUACCACUNCAGAUGNGAAAGNAUGGGGAGCAACAGGAUUAGAUACCCUGUUAGUUCCACGCCGUAANCGAUGUCUANUUGGAGGUUGUGGCCCNUGAAGCCGUGGCUUUCGGAGCUAACGCGUUAAGUAGACCGCCUGGGGAGUACGGUCGCAAGAUUAAAACUCAAAUGAAUUGACGGGGGCCCGCACAAGCGGUGGAGCAUGUGGUUUAAUUCGAUGCAACGCGAAGAACCUUACCUACUCUUGACAUCUACAGAAGCCAGCGGAGACGCAGGUGUGCCUUCGGGAACUGUAAGACAGGUGCUGCAUGGCUGUCGUCAGCUCGUGUUGUGAAAUGUUGGGUUAAGUCCCGCAACGAGCGCAACCCUUAUCCUUGUUUGCCAGCACUUCGGGUGGGAACUCCAGGGAGACUGCCGGUGAUAAACCGGAGGAAGGUGGGGACGACGUCAAGUCAUCAUGGCCCUUACGAGUAGGGCUACACACGUGCUACAAUGGCGCAUACAGAGGGCGGCCAACUUGCGAAAGUGAGCGAAUCCCAAAAAGUGCGUCGUAGUCCGGAUUGGAGUCUGCAACUCGACUCCAUGAAGUCGGAAUCGCUAGUAAUCGUGGAUCAGAAUGCCACGGUGAAUACGUUCCCGGGCCUUGUACACACCGCCCGUCACACCAUGGGAGUGGGCUGCAAAAGAAGUGGGUAGUUUAACCUUCGGGAGGACGCUCACCACUUUGUGGUUCAUGACUGGGGUGAAGUCGUAACAAGGUAACCG